rnacentral:rRNA from 1 species
AGUGAACGCUGGCGGUAGGCCUAACACAUGCAGGUCGAACGGCAGCACAGUAAGAGCUUGCUCUUACGGGUGGCGAGUGGCGGACGAGUGAGGAAUACAUCGGAAUCUACUUUUUCGUGGGGGAUAACGUAGGGAAACUUACGCUAAUACCGCAUACGACCUACGGGUGAAAGCAGGGGAUCUUCGGACCUUGCGCGAUUGAAUGAGCCGAUGUCGGAUUAGCUAGUUGGCGGGGUAAAGGCCCACCAAGGCGACGAUCCGUAGCUGGUCUGAGAGGAUGAUCAGCCACACUGGAACUGAGACACGGUCCAGACUCCUACGGGAGGCAGCAGUGGGGAAUAUUGGACAAUGGGCGCAAGCCUGAUCCAGCCAUACCGCGUGGGUGAAGAAGGCCUUCGGGUUGUAAAGCCCUUUUGUUGGGAAAGAAAAGCAGCAGGUUAAUACCCCGCUGUUCUGACGGUACCCAAAGAAUAAGCACCGGCUAACUUCGUG